AAAAAGAAAAGUAAUAGGAUGGUUCUUGUGGUUUUGUGGUGGAUGUCCUGUUGGGUUUUCCCUCUUCCUCCUCCAACCGGAGUUAUUGAAAACUGAGAUGAAAAAAAUGUUAAAAGGUUACAUUUGUAUAAUGGAAAUAGAUAAUCAGGCUUCAGGCAAUCAUCAAUGCUUUUGAUCCUUCUGGGAUCAGAAGAACAGCUCACAUGUUCAGAAAUCGACUGGAGAAAGACGAGGAGCCGCUUAAAUGGCUCUUGGGUAAAUGAGAAAACUUUGUAUCCCAGAAUCAAACAAAGCAUGAGUCCAGCCUUCUGUGGGAGGUUCCAUCAAAGGUCUUGGAUUUUGUUUUCUUAACUAUAAUCUCGUUCUUCCUUUUCCUCUCCUGAUGUUUUCAGAGGCUGAACAAAGUGGGUUCAAAUGAUGUCAUCCCUGCCAAGCUAAGGUGGCACUGAUGGGUGAAUAGGAAGGACACACAGAAGGGCACCUGAAUUAAGGGCACCUGUAUUAAUGUUAUGGAGAAGCACAGAAGUAAAUCCACGUUAAGGACAAGAGACAACACAACAUGGCGGAAGCGUUGGAUCUGGGGGCAGCAAGUAUCACUGACAGCUGCUCAGCCAUCACGUCUCCUGGUUCUGCAGGACCCAGUGAUGUAGUUCAUUUGGGCCAAGUGACUUGAAUCUAUCUGGGGCAGUUCAUGGAUCUCUUCAUGUUUCCUGGACGUCAACUCCUUAUUAGACAUUUUCAUUCUGUCAAUUCCAGUAUAAAAACAAGUAAACUCUU